UUUCCCUCUCCCCUCAGCUCUGUUUUCUGAUUAAAGCCCAUUAACUGCUCUUUAGCUCUCUUGUAGGUUCUUGCCGUGCUUGAGCAUGAAAAGCCAUCUGCAUUGUCAGGCACAGGGAUCUCCCCCAGUUUUUGGAUCAGGCUGAGCUGCCACCCUGAGCUCUCCCAGAGCUCUUUGGGCUUUGAAUACACAAAGUUUUGUGGCCUUUCAGAUCGUGGACACCUUCCUCAUCGGCCGUUUCAUCCUCCUGGCUGUGAUGAGCCUGGUCUUCCUUGGCUGCCUGUUCCUGUUCCUGAUUUUCCACCUCAUGGAGCCCGUGUUCGCCAAGCCACUCCACAGCAGCUAGAGACAGCAGUCUCUGCAAAGAGGAAAUCCUGAUUUCAUGGCAAUAAACCAGGAAGAGACACCAGCUGGAGGUCACCAUGAUGUUCUUUCUGAGCUCAGAAAGAGCCAGGGAAGCAAGUGAAGGCUUUGCUUCAUCUUAAAAAGCAAAGUUUGGUCUGAGCAAGAUCCUCUUCCUCCCCAGGGGGUUGAAACCUCUGCACCUGCAAAGGUGUGUGAACCUCUGAAUCCUGCUCUCAUUUACAGGAGAGCUGAGAUCCAGGCACUUGGUGCUGCUCCUCAUCCAGUGCAUUGAACUGAGAUGGUGUGUUAUUGUUAUUCACAAGAGAUGGUUUGUUACUGUUCCUUUUUCACUAUAAAACUCUUUUUUCAUUUUAAUAAAACUCUUUGAGAAAUCCCUGA